GCGCGCGGCUGUCGUGCAUGGUUUCGGAUCGGAACUCGUCGUCGCUGCUGUUUCAUCUGGAUUACUCUAAAACGACAAAUCUUCACAAGCUUGGUUCUGAGUCCGAGUUGAGGUUCCAAAGGCAAGUGUCUGCUCUCGUGGACGUCGGGAUCAAUGCAGUCAACACCUUUUCGGAUAUGCACGGAAAACGCUGUACCUCCUCACAUUGAGCGACACCUGAAGCAAGCUGGAGCGAAGUACCUCUUGACCAACCAGGCAGAGGUGCCAGACAGGCCCACUUCGUCGGUCCAUCACAUAUACGCAACAGCUGAGAAGACUGUGAUUUAC